GGGGUUUUAGCUCAGUGGCAUAAGCGCCUGCCUUGAAAGCAGGCAGUCCUGCCCGGGAUCCCCG
rnacentral:tRNA from 1 species